rnacentral:rRNA from 1 species
AUUGAACGCUGGCGGCAGGCCUAACACAUGCAAGUCGAGCGGAUGAAGGGAGCUUGCUCCUGGAUUCAGCGGCGCACGGGUGAGUAAUGCCUAUGAAUCUCCCUGGCAUUGCUGGAUAACGUCCUGAGACGGGCGCUACUACCGCCUACUUCCUGCUGCUGCAACUUGGUGGUCUUCGGACCGCACCCUAUCAUGUGAACCUACGUGGGGUUAGAUAGUUGGUUGGUUAAAGGCCUACCAAGGCGACGAUCCGUAACUGGUCUGAGAGGAUGAUCAGUCACCCUGGAACGGAGACACGGUCCAGACGCCUAAGGGAGGCAGCAGUGGGGAAUAUUGGACAAUGGGGGAAAGUAUGAUACAGCGAUGCCGCGUGUGUGAAGAAGGUCUUCGGAUUGUAAAGAACGUUAAGUUGGGAGGAAGGGCAGUAAGUUAAUACCUUGCUGUUGUGACGUUACCAACAGAAUAAGCACCGGCUAACUUCGUG